rnacentral:rRNA from 1 species
CCUACGGGAGGCAGCAGUGAGGAAUAUUGGUCAAUGGGCGGAAGCCUGAACCAGCCAAGUCGCGUGAGGGAUUAAGGCCCUGCGGGUCGUAAACCUCUUUUGCCGGGGAGCAGAGGUCCGGACGUGUCCGGGCCGGGAGAGUACCCGGAGAAAAAGCAACGGCUAACUCCGUGCCAGCAGCCGCGGUAAUACGGAGGAUGCGCGCGUUAUCCGGAUUUAUUGGGUUUACAGGGUGCGUAGGCGGGCAUUUAAGCCGGCGGUCAAAUGUCGGGGCUCAACCCCGGCCUGCCGUCGAAACUGGGUGCCUUGAGUGGGCGAGAAGUAUGCGGAAUGCGUGGUGUAGCGGUGAAAUGCAUAGAUAUCACGCAGAACCACGAUUGCGAAGGCAGCAUACCGGCGCCCUACUGACGCUGAGGCACGAAAGUGCGGGUAUCGAACAGGAUUAGAUACCCUUGUAGUC